AAGACCCUUCUUGUCCCUCUUUUGUCAGACAGAUCUUGAAGCUCGUUUGACUGUCCUCCUGACUGCUGGUGUUGACCUAAGGUAAGCAGCAGGAAUAUAAAAUAGGCUCCAGUAAGGGUGGGGCCAGCCUCAACAGGGCAGCACAAGCUUGAACUAGAAUAUGCUGGUCAUAAAACCACAUCCUCGUGGGCUCACACACCAAGGCUUAACAGGUGUUUUGCUCUGGCCACAAAAGAAAUUAUAUAUCUGCUUCAUCCAGUCUGGGUGUUAGAAAAUUUGGGUGGCAGUGCCUGCUGUGUACUUUGCCUGCUUCUCU
rnacentral:lncRNA from 12 species